rnacentral:rRNA from 1 species
GAUGAACGCUGGCGGCGUGCUUAACACAUGCAAGUCGAACGGAAAGGCUCCUGCUUGCAGGGGUACUCGAGUGGCGAACGGGUGAGUAACACGUGGGUGAUCUGCCCUGCACUUCGGGAUAAGCCUGGGAAACUGGGUCUAAUACCGGAUAGGACCACAUCUUGGAUGGUGUGGUGGAAAGUUUUUCGGUGUGGGCUGAGCUCGCGGCCUAUCAGCUUGUUGGUGGGGUAAUGGCCUACCAAGGCGUCGACGGGUAGCCGGCCUGCGAGGGUGUACGGCCAGACUGGGACUGAGAGACGGGCCAGACUCGGACGGGAGGCAGCAGUGGGGAAUAUUGGACAAUGGGCGCAGGCGUGAGGGAGCGACGCCGCGUGGGGGAUGACGGCCUUCGGGUUGUAAAAACCGUUCGCUAGGGACGAAGCGUUUUUGUGACGGUACCUGGAGAAGAAGCACCGGCUAACUACGUG